AAGUGAUAUCAAAAAUUAACUGGAGUACCCGAAGCCCUGCCCCUCUUGGCCUAUGUUGUGGGGUUUGCUAUGGUGAUGUCAGAGUAUGGGGGAGGGGUGAACAAGGGACCAUGAGCGAAAGGUAAGGCAAUAUUACGUAUUCUCGCUGACAAAGGCAAAUGAAGCCAUGUUUUUUUGCUUAUGCAUUUUGGAGUAGGCUAUUCUACAUUUAAAGUUGGAGUAAUGCCGCAUUUGUAAACUGGAGACUGGCGGAAGAGCACUCAGCUCCGGAUUAUGUUUGAUGUCUCUAACCGUCAAUGAGGGCGGUGCGGGGAUGUUGUGGACGUUGUAUCCAAUGCUGAGCAGAAGUUGUUGAAAUAGGGAUCAGAAAGCCCCUUUUGCCUACUUGAAAACAACGAAGCAACCUGAACCAUUCAAGAAUGAAAAUGAGUUCAGAGGCCAGCUGCUGAACCAGAGGUGGACACGAGGGGACAGAAUAAGCAGAUUCUGUGAGACCAAGAGGAGCCUGCGAAUCAAAGUGAGAAGCUGUGUGUGUGUGUGUGUGUGUGUGUGUGUGUUUGUGAGCGUGCACGUGUGUGCCUGUGUCUUUGUGAGAAAGAGCGAGAGAGAAAUAGAGAGUUAAUGCUUUGUGAUAACAAUGAGUACUGUCAGAAACAGUGACCCUCCCAUUUCACACAAAUCUAUCUCACUCUACUCCUCUCUCCCACUCUCUUCCUUCCCUCCCUAAACAGAAGGAGGUCAUACAUUUUUCCUUUUAAAAGCUUUUAUUAGAGUUGAUAAGGACUCUGCUUUUGUAACCAGAUCUUGCUCCAUUGAGGAUGAGGGGAGGUUCCACCCCACUUUGAAAUCAGUAUGAAUGUUAUGUGUAUGUGUUUGGUUAUGGGUGUAUCUGUGCUUUAAAAUACUUGUGUGUGGGAAGAGGAAGACAGGGGGAAGAUAAAAUUAUACUGCUAUGGUACUUGCAAUGAGGCACUGUGUGGAUUGAUGAUGUAGAAUAAUUGUAGAGAAGUCACUCAAAAAGUGAAGCUGUGUGUGUGUGUGUGUGUGUGUGUGUGUGUGUGUGUGUGUGUGUGUGUGUGUGUGUGUGUGUGUGUGUGUGUGAGCAUCAAAAUGUGUACCUGUGUGCCUAUGUAGUGUGUGUGUGUGAGUGAGUGAGUGAGUGAGGUAAAGAGAGGUAGUGAGUGCACUGUCAUGACACUUUGUGUUUCAGAUGAGUCAGGAAGCAGCAGAAACAAGAACACGGACCCGCUCAAAAGGCAUCAGAGGUGAGCUGGGGCCACACAAAUGCACGCACAAACGCAUGAUACUAAUGGAAACAGCUUCAUU
rnacentral:lncRNA from 1 species